CUUUGGUAUUUAAAAGGUAGAUUCUCCUUCUAUGAGUACAUGAGUUAUGCUUAAUCAUAGAGGAAAAUCCACGUUUUCAGUAUCAGAUGC
rnacentral:pre_miRNA from 1 species